UACGAAGGGGGCUAGCGUUGCUCGGAAUCACUGGGCGUAAAGCGCACGUAGGCGGCUUUUUAAGUCAGGGGUGAAAUCCUGGAGCUCAACUCCAGAACUGCCUUUGAUACUGGGAAGCUUGAUUCCGGGAGAGGUGAGUGGAACUGCGAGUGUAGAGGUGAAAUUCGUAGAUAUUCGCAAGAACACCAGUGGCGAAGGCGGCUCACUGGCCCGAUACUGACGCUGAGGUGCGAAAGCGUGGGGAGCAAACAGG
rnacentral:rRNA from 1 species